AGCCACCUUCGGGUGGUGGACAGUGGCAGACGGGUGAGUAACGCGUGGGAACGUGCCUUUCGGUUCGGAAUAACCCAGGGAAACUUGGGCUAAUACCGGAUACGCCCUUCGGGGGAAAGAUUCAUUGCCGAAAGAUCGGCCCGCGUCGGAUUAGCUAGUUGGUGGGGUAAUGGCUCACCAAGGCGACGAUCCGUAGCUGGUCUGAGAGGAUGACCAGCCACACUGGGACUGAGACACGGCCCAGACUCCUACGGGAGGCAGCAGUGGGGAAUAUUGGACAAUGGGCGAAAGCCUGAUCCAGCCAUGCCGCGUGGGUGAAGAAGGCCUUAGGG
rnacentral:rRNA from 1 species